UUCAAGAUUAAGCCAUGCAUGUCUAAGUAUAAGCAAUCUAUACUGUGAAACUGCGAAUGGCUCAUUAAAUCAGUUAUCGUUUAUUUGAUAGUACCUUACUACUUGGAUAACCGUGGUAAUUCUAGAGCUAAUACAUGCUAAAAACCGCGACUUCGGAAGCGGUGUAUUUAUUAGAUAAAAAACCAAUGCCCUUCGGGGCUCCUUGGUGAUUCAUGAUAACUUAACGAAUCGCAUGGCCUUGCGCCGGCGAUGGUUCAUUCAAAUUUCUGCCCUAUCAACUUUCGAUGGUAGGAUAGUGGCCUACCAUGGUAUCAACGGGUAACGGGGAAUUAGGGUUCUAUUCCGGAGAGGGAGCCUGAGAAACGGCUACCACAUCCAAGGAAGGCAGCAGGCGCGCAAAUUACCCAAUCCCGACACGGGGAGGUAGUGACAAUAAAUACUGAUACAGGGCUCUUUUGGGUCUUGUAAUUGGAAUGAGUACAAUUUAAAUACCUUAACGAGGAACAAUUGGAGGGCAAGUCUGGUGCCAGCAGCCGCGGUAAUUCCAGCUCCAAUAGCGUAUAUUAAAGUUGUUGCAGUUAAAAAGCUCGUAGUUGAACCUUGGGCCUGGCUGGCCGGUCCGCCUCACCGCGUGUACUGGUCCGGCCGGGCCUUUCCUUCUGGGGAUCCGCAUGCCCUUCACUGGGUGUGUCGGGGAACCAGGACUUUUACUUUGAAAAAAUUAGAGUGUUCAAAGCAGGCCUUUGCUCGAAUACAUUAGCAUGGAAUAAUAGAAUAGGACGUGCGGUCCUAUUUUGUUGGUUUCUAGGACCGCCGUAAUGAUUAAUAGGGAUAGUCGGGGGCAUCAGUAUUCAAUUGUCAGAGGUGAAAUUCUUGGAUUUAUUGAAGACUAACUACUGCGAAAGCAUUUGCCAAGGAUGUUUUCAUUAAUCAGUGAACGAAAGUUAGGGGAUCGAAGACGAUCAGAUACCGUCGUAGUCUUAACCGUAAACUAUGCCGACUAGGGAUCGGGCGAUGUUAUUCUUUUGACUCGCUCGGCACCUUACGAGAAAUCAAAGUCUUUGGGUCUG
rnacentral:rRNA from 1 species